rnacentral:tRNA from 1 species
ACUUAAAUAACUUAUUUAGAGUAUUAUAGUGAAGUUAUAAAAGAGAUUGAUUGUUAAUCUUUAAGUA